rnacentral:rRNA from 1 species
UACGUAGGGUGCGAGCGUUAAUCGGAAUUACUGGGCGUAAAGCGUGCGCAGGCGGCGCGUUAAGACAGGUGUGAAAGCCCCGAGCUUAACUUGGGAAUUGCGCUUGUGACUGGCGUGCUGGAGUGUGGCAGAGGGAGGUGGAAUUCCACGUGUAGCAGUGAAAUGCGUAGAGAUGUGGAGGAACACCGAUGGCGAAGGCAGCCUCCUGGGCCAGCACUGACGCUCAGGCACGAAAGCGUGGGAAGCAAACAGG